UACGUAGGGUGCGAGCGUUUAAUCGGAAUUACUGGGCGUAAAGCGUGCGCAGGCGGUUUUGUAAGUCAGAUGUGAAAUCCCCGAGCUCAACUUGGGAACUGCGUUUGAAACUACAAGACUAGAAUAUGUCAGAGGGGGGUAGAAUUCCACGUGUAGCAGUGAAAUGCGUAGAGAUGUGGAGGAAUACCAAUGGCGAAGGCAGCCCCCUGGGAUAAUAUUGACGCUCAUGCACGAAAGCGUGGGGGAGCAAACAGG
rnacentral:rRNA from 1 species